UACGUAGGGAGCAAGCGUUGUCCGGAAUCAUUGGGCGUAAAGCGCGCGUAGGUGGCUUCGUAAGUCCGUUGUGAAAGUCAAAGGCUCAACCUUUGAAAGCCGAUGGAUACUGCGGAGCUAGAGUACGGAAGAGGCGAGUGGAAUUCCUGGUGUAGCGGUGGAAUGCGCAGAUAUCAGGAGGAACACCGAUAGCGAAGGCAGCUCGCUGGGACGUUACUGACACUGAGGAGCGAAAGCGUGGGGAGCGAACAGG
rnacentral:rRNA from 1 species